AAGCAGGAUAAGUUACAAUUUAGCAUAACAGUGCUAUGUUGUCGUUCCCCCUGCUAAAAUGAACUUGUUUCCUUCUAUCCUUGACUGCUGCUUUUACAGCUGGCAGGGACGCUUGGUCUCAGACAU